UACGAAGGGAGCUAGCGUUGUUCGGAAUCACUGGGCGUAAAGCGCACGUAGGCGGUUGUGCAAGUCAGGGGUGAAAUCCCGGAGCUCAACUCCGGAACUGCCUCUGAUACAGCACGUCUUGAGUCCGGAAGAGGUGGGUGGAAUUCCUAGUGUAGAGGUGAAAUUCGUAGAUAUUAGGAAGAACACCGGUGGCGAAGGCGGCCCACUGGUCCGGUACUGACGCUGAGGUGCGAAAGCGUGGGGAGCAAACAGG
rnacentral:rRNA from 1 species